CAGUCGACGGCAGCACGGGAGCAAUCCUGGUGGCGAGUGGCGAACGGGUGAGUAAUAUAUCGGAACGUGCCCAGUCGUGGGGGAUAACGUAGAGAAAUUUACGCUAAUACCGCAUACGAUCUAAGGAUGAAAGCGGGGGACCGUAAGGCCUCGCGCGAUUGGAGCGGCUGAUAUCAGAUUAGGUUGUUGGUGAGGUAAAAGCUCACCAAGCCGACGAUCUGUAGCUGGUUUGAGAGAACGACCAGCCACACUGGGACUGAGACACGGCCCAGACUCCUACGGGAGGCAGCAGUGGGGAAUUUUGGACAAUGGGCGAAAGCCUGAUCCAGCAAUGCCGCGUGCAGGAAGAAGGCCUUCGGGUUGUAAACUGCUUUUGUACGGAACGAAAAGGUCUGCCCUAAUACGGCGGGCCCAUGACGGUACCGUAAGAAUAAGCACCGGCUAACUACGUGCCAGCAGCCGCGGUAAUACGUAGGGUGCGAGCGUUAAUCGGAAUUACUGGGCGUAAAGCGUGCGCAGGCGGUGAUGUAAGACAGUUGUGAAAUCCCCGGGCUCAACCUGGGAAUUGCAUCUGUGACUGCAUCGCUAGAGUACGGUAGAGGGGGAUGGAAUUCCGCGUGUAGCAGUGAAAUGCGUAGAUAUGCGGAGGAACACCGAUGGCGAAGGCAAUCCCCUGGACCUGUACUGACGCUCAUGCACGAAAGCGUGG
rnacentral:rRNA from 1 species